rnacentral:rRNA from 1 species
UACGGGGGGGGCAAGCGUUGUUCGGAAUUGCUGGGCGUAAAGGGCUCGUAGGUGGCCAACUAAGUCAGACGUGAAAUCCCUCAGCUUAACUGGGGAACUGCGUCUGAUACUGGAUGGCUUGAGUUUGGGAGAGGGAUGCGGAAUUCCAGGUGUAGCGGUGAAAUGCGUAGAUAUCUGGAGGAACACCGGUGGCGAAGGCGGCAUCCUGGACCAACACUGACACUGAGGAGCGAAAGCCAGGGGAGAAAACGGG